CCUGGACCUCCGCUGCAAGUUGCCACUGUGUUAGAAGGGCCGGUGUCUGGGGCGGGGGCGGUGUUCGGGUGUGCGGGCUUAGCAGCCACAGCCGGGCUUGGACUAGCCUGGGAGGAGGCAGGCGGGGGCUUCGGCAGGCGCAGGGGGCGUGCAGACUCUGCCCCUGGGCGCCGGCGGCUCCGGCCCUCACCUGGCCUUCUCUUUGCGCGCGCACUGGCGCGCGUGCGCGCGUGUGUUAGACAGACAGACGUGUUUCAAACCGACGGGAACCUAGCCCAGGAACCUCCAGAGUGUCAGAUCAAAUGCAAGCAACAAAGGCUCCCCCGCCCCGCGUCACGCCUUCUCCAAUCCUCCUCUUUGGGGAUGCUCCGGGAAGGGCUACUUCCCGGGGACUUGAGGGGACCAGCGCUCCUAGGGCAAGGCGGAGGCAGCCCGGGCUGAUGCCAGUGAAGGGAUGCCUCAGUCCUCCGGUUGUGUUUCAAGAAUUGCUGGGGCUAUUAUGACAACUGAGGUAAAGUUAAAUAUUUAUACUCCAACGUGUUCUCAUUAUUUUUUGUCUGUUUUGAAGACAUUCGGUGCUUUCAAACCUACUUUAAACAUAAAUCCUGGUCUGGCUGAAGCAGAACCUGUCUCCUGUCACUGAAGUUGACUUUUGGAAAAGUCUUCAUUAAGCUCAGAAGUGAAAGGAAAGUUAUCUGUAAACGAUAUUAGUUUAAAUAUAUAUGUGGAUAUGUACAUAGAGUUCAUUUAAAUAUAUGUGUGGAUGUGUGUAUAUGUAGCACACAUAUUUUACAUAUCUAUUUCCACCUAGUUAUAAUAGAGAAAAGGAAGCAAGUGCCCCC
rnacentral:lncRNA from 1 species